GAUGAACGCUGGCGGCGUGCCUAAUACAUGCAAGUCGAGCGAACGGACGAGAAGCUUGCUUCUCUGAUGUUAGCGGCGGACGGGUGAGUAACACGUGGAUACCCUACCUAUAAGACUGGGAUAACUUCGGGAAACCGGAGCUAAUACCGGAUAAUAUUUUGAACCGCAUGGUUCAAAAGUGAAAGACGGUCUUGCUGUCACUUAUAGAUGGAUCCGCGCUGCAUUAGCUAGUUGGUAAGGUAACGGCUUACCAAGGCAACGAUGCAUAGCCGACCUGAGAGGGUGAUCGGCCACACGGGAACGGAGACACGGUCCAGACUCCUACGAGAGGCAGCAGUAGGGAAUCUUCCGCAAUGGGCGAGAGCCUGACGGAGCAACGCCGCGUGAGUGAUGAAGGUCUUCGGAUCGUAAAACUCUGUUAUUAGGGAAGAACAUAUGUGUAAGUAACUGUGCACAGCUUGACGGUACCUAAUCAGAAAGCCACGGCUAACUACGUG
rnacentral:rRNA from 1 species